AAAAAAAAAAAAAAGAAAAAAAAAGAAGAAGAAUCUUAUACUACAACAGAAUUAGGUUAUAGGGACACAUGUUUGAGACACUUUUGAGUAAAUAUCUCAUUUAUGCUAAAACUUAAAAACACAUCUACUAAUGCCUAAAUAUAAAGCCCAAUCCAACCAAAAAUAAAAGAUUACUUUACUCAACCAACCACACCCAAUUCAUUUGGCCCGAUUAUAAACAGAAAAGAAAAAAAAAAAAAGAAAAAUCAAUUACCAUUUUUUCUUCUCUCUUCACUCAAUCCACUGAAAUUCUAGACGAAGAGCCUUUACUGUCGUCCUUCUCCGCCACCGCAGCCAACGAGAUAGAGUUUCGGCGGUUGCUAAAUGCUUAAAUAAGUGUUGGUAAAUUAACAGCACUCUUUUAGAUUAUACCGACACUCUUUAACUAUCACUAUAUACCUAACGACCCCACAUAUAGCAACACUUUUUAAAAGUGUCGGUAAUUUUAGCUAGCAACACUUUUUUGACAUGUACCUAUAUUUAAAAGGGUUGCUAUAGACCGUUUUUGUUGUAGUGUUAAAUGUACAGUGAAAAGUAGGAUGCAAAAUCUACACCUAUUC
rnacentral:lncRNA from 1 species